rnacentral:rRNA from 1 species
AGUGAACGCUGGCGGCGUGCCUAACACAUGCAAGUCGUGCGCGAAAGGGAGCAAUCCUGAGUAAAGCGGCGAACGGGUGAGUAACACGUGGUUAACCUGCCUGGAUGUGGGGGAUACCCCGGGGAAACCCGGGACAAUACCGCAUGAUGUCUCUCGGGCGUGAGCCUGGGAGAGCAAAGCCGGAUGAUUAAAAUUUCGAUGGUAUAAGAUGGGCAUGCGUAGGAUUAGGUAGUUGGUGAGGUAACAGCUCACCAAGCCAACGAUCCUUAGGGGUUCUGAGAGGAUUAUCCCCCACACUGGUACUGAGACACGGACCAGACUCCUACGGGAGGCAGCAGUGAGGAAUAUUGGUCAAUGGGCGAAAGCCUGAACCAGCCAUCCCGCGUGCAGGAUGACGGCCCUAUGGGUUGUAAACUGCUUUUGUUUGCCAAGAAUGGUUACUACGUGUAGUAAUUUGACGGUAGCAAAUGAAUAAGGACCGGCUAACUCCGUGCCAGCAGCCGCGGUAAUACGGAGGGUCCAAGCGUUAUCCGGAUUCAUUGGGUUUAAAGGGUGCGCAGGCGGAACUUUAAGUCAGUGGUGAAAUCUUGCCGCUUAACGGUAAAAUUGCCAUUGAUACUGAAGGUUCUUGAAUAUGGUUGAGGUAGGCGGACUGUGUUGUGUAGCGGUGAAAUGCAUAGAUAUGACACAGAACGCCGAUUGCGAAGGCAGCUUACUAAACCAAUACUGACGCUGAGGCACGAAAGCUUGGGGAGCGAACAGGAUUAGAUACCCUGGUAGUCCACGCCGUAAACGAUGAAUACUCGCUGUUAGCAAUACACAGUUAGCGGCUAAGCGAAAGCAUUAAGUAAUCCACCUGGGGAGUACGAUCGCAAGAUUGAAACUCAAAGGAAUUGACGGGGGCCCGCACAAGCGGAGGAACAUGUGGUUUAAUUCGAUGAUACGCGAGGAACCUUACCUGGGCUUAAAUGUAGUUUGAUUUUAUUGGAAACGAUAUUUUUCUUCGGAACGUUUUACAAGGUUCUGCAUGGUUGUCGUCAGCUCGUGCCGUGAGGUGUCGGGUUAAGUCCCAUAACGAGCGCAACCCUUAUCAUUAGUUGCCAUCGGGUCAUGCCGGGGACUCUAAUGAGACUGCCAGUGUAAACUGUGAGGAAGGUGGGGAUGACGUCAAAUCAGCACGGCCCUUAUGUCCAGGGCUACACACGUGUUACAAUGGUCGAUACAAAGGGCAGCUACCUGGUGACAGGAUGCUAAUCUCUAAAGUCGAUCUCAGUUCGGAUCGAAGUCUGCAACUCGACUUCGUGAAGUUGGAUUCGCUAGUAAUCGUAUAUCAGCAAUGAUACGGUGAAUACGUUCCCGGGCC